rnacentral:rRNA from 1 species
CAGUCGCCGCGGUAAUACGUAGGUGGCAAGCGUUGUCCGGAAUUAUUGGGCGUAAAGGGCUCGCAGGCGGUUUCUUAAGUCUGAUGUGAAAGCCCCCGGCUCAACCGGGGAGGGUCAUUGGAAACUGGGAAACUUGAGUGCAGAAGAGGAGAGUGGAAUUCCACGUGUAGCGGUGAAAUGCGUAGAGAUGUGGGGGAACACCAGUGGCGAAGGCGACUCUCUGGUCUGUAACUGACGCUGAGGAGCGAAAGCGUGGGGAGCGAACAGGAUUAGAUACCCGAGUAGUCCCUGUCUCUUAUAC